rnacentral:lncRNA from 1 species
AGACACUUAAAACGACCCUAAAUUUCUAAACAUAUGGGGGAGCCGUAUUUUCUAAUUUUAAAAAACCCUACACAAGAACCUUAUCAUCUUCUUCACCUUUGAACACCCAAAACACUAGAGACCCCAAACCCUAGCAACCAAGAACCCAUUAGCAGCCAAACACAACCACCCUCCAACCGCUAGCCGUCUUCCCCAAACACCAUAUUUCUUUCUUCCUCACCUUGCAGCAACCAGCCCGUUGGCGACCCCUUCAACACCAACCACCCAACCCCAAUGAGAUCCCUUCAUCUCUCACACAUAAACCAACAGAAGCAGACUACCACCCUCCCCAUUUCUAACCAUGAACCAGCCGCCCAAACCCGCCAAAAACUCGUCGGAACUCCUCUAGUGGCGCCAGGUCUAGACGCAGCCAUAGUCACCGUCUGCCAACCACUCCCGUUCUACCAUAACCUGCUGCAAGACACAGACACAAGAAUAGACGAAAAAAAGAGAAAAUCUGGGCAGAAAAUUAAUUAAAAAAAGUUGUUCUUGUGGUUCUGGUUUCCAAACUGGAGUGGAUUUGAAAUGUGUUUUUCGAUCGUUGGAGUUGUUGUUUGAGGUCUAUAAUCUGUUGUUCGAUCCCGAAUUUGGAAUACAUCUGAGGUCUUGUUCGCGUUUUGGUAUGCGGUUCCGGUGUAGAUUUGACAUUGUUUCAAAAAUUUGUGCAGCAAUAAAGGUCCAUUUCUGAGCUUCUCUGUUUCGUUUUAAUGGUUUCUUGUUGCUUUUUUGAUUUUAAUUGAUGUUCAGAUGAAGUAGCUAUAUGUAGGUGCUUUGUAAAUAAUUUGAAGUUUUUUAAUGUUUGAUUAUCGGAUGGAAUGCGUUCGAUUUAGUAACUUAGUGUUUUGAUUUUCGUUGUUCAAUUUAGAUAGAUAAUCUGUUGCUUAAUCAUUUGACGUUUUCACUAAUUAAAAGGCAUGUGGUUGUUGCGUUCAUAUAUACAAUGGACCAUGGAUUCAGUUUCAAGGAUAUUUGUUGGAAUUGGUAAAAUUGAUUUAUUAUAUGAUGGACCAUCUAACAUAGAGUGGACCACUUGGUUUGAAUCAUGAGUGGGCUACCGGGUGUUUUCUUUAGGAAAAUAACUCAUGAAUAUCGUAGCUUGCUUUAGGCACGAUUAAUUAAAUCAGCAUAGCUACGGGUACGGUUCCCAUGACGUAGUUGUGAUACAUAAUUUCCGAAUCCGGAUGCACAUUUUAUGUGAUCCGACCGUAAUUCUGAAUAAUAAUAAAGUUAAACAUGUUGUAGAUUGCGGGUACGGUUCUCGUGAUGCAAUUCACAAUUUAUACGAAAUAAACGAGUGUGUGACAUCGCGACUUGUUCCAACCUAUUCCAUAAAUAAUUAAAAGCGAUUUUUUGAAAAGAUUAAAAAUGCACAAUAGUCUUAAUGCUUGUAUUAAACCAGAUAAUUAGGCCAAUAUUAAUAGUUGAGUGACCGUGCUAAAACCACGGAAUACGGGAAUGCCUAACACCUUCUCCCGGGUUAACAUAAUUCCUUACCCGGAUUUUUGUGUUUCGCGGACAGUAAACCAGAGUCAAACUUCCUCGAUUUGGGAUUUUAAACCGGUAACUUGGGACACCGUAAAUUAUCCCAAGUGGAGACUCUGAAUUUUAAUAAAUAAUCCUAUUUCGAUUAUUGUCACUUUAAUUGAAAAAACUCUCAUAUCUCCCUCUGGCGACUCUGCUGGGGAUCGAACCCAGAAUCUCUGGUUCAUGGUUCAAGAAUUUGAGCUUAGAAUAACUGUUAUAUUUGGCUUUUAUUUAUUAUCUAAUUUUUAUUAAAUGUUUGGGCCUAAUGUACUAAAUGUCAUUUUUUACCGCUUUGAUAUUAUUUGAACUGUAUAUAAACUGCUGCGAAACCCUUCUCUUCUAAUCUUCUUGGAAGUGCACGCUAGCGUGACUUCUUUUCUGUUAGUGUCAUACCCUAAUUUAGAACGAGGAUCGGAUCAGUUACAAAGUCGGAUGACCUUUUGGUUACCGGUACGUUGCCCCCCUCGGCUCGAGUUGUCCACUCGGGUAAGCCAGGUCCAGAACAAUACACCCAGGUUUUAAACCUAGAAUAACAUAGCCUCAUGCCGGACCCUAGUAGAAACGUUUGUUUGCAUCACGUGCAUUUAACUUAGAGGACUCAACACAGGGGUUGGGUCCGUCUAGGACAGGUGUACCCAAAAAUAAAAGACCAUCCUGAUGUAUCCUAUGUGCUACAUGUUGCAACCUUCAAGGGUAAAAGGGGUCAUUUGGCAGACCAAUAAUGGAUGAGAGUAAAUGAGAGAAAAUAGGGUGAAGUAUAAAAAUAAAGCAAGUAGGACCUAGUCAUGUUUUUCUUUCACAUUUUUUUAAGAAAAAGACAAAAAAAACAUGAAAAAUCCAAAAAGAUUUUGCACUUUCCAAUAAUUUUCUAAAAAAAAACAAAAAACAAAAAAGGGAAAAAGAAAAUCCAAAAAGAGUUUACAUGUUUCAUCAUUUUUCAAAAAAAAAAGACAAAAAAUAUAUUUUAUCUAAAUUAGUUAUUUUUUUAUUCUCACCCGUAUAGAAUCUUCCCGAACUACACAUACCAGAUUCUCGUCUUUCAGUGCGUGAUACGUGGGCAGACAACAUAGGGUCUGGUCAUCUUAGUGAGUCUUAGGUUCUUGUCUUCGAGGAUCGUAGCCAAAUCUUGCAUCUUUAGCCACUUUUGGCCUCAUCGGCCAUUUUGCAAAAUAGGGCUAUUUUCGCAAAGUGGCUUGUUUAAUUUUGUCUGGAGAGUCUUCAAUCCACAAUUAGGUGUCUCUUUACUUUAAGGUCCGUCCUUGUCGAAUUUGCAUGUCUAGCCGUUUUUGGCCACAUAGGCCGCUUUGCAGAAUAGGGCUAAUUUUGUAAAAAUGGUUCAAUUAACCCAUGUCUUAGAGUCCUAGGUCCACAACAAAGUGUCCUCUCUGUUUAAGGUCCAUUCUGUUGAAUUUGCAAUGCUUAGCCAUUUUCUGGCCACAUAGGCUAUUUCUACAAAAUCAGUCAUUUCUCUAAAGUAAUUUUUUCAUGUCUUAGAGGUCACCUUUAUUGAGUUUGCACUUCUAGCUGCCUUUUGGGUACGUGGCUAUUUUGCACAAUCAUGUCUUGAAUGUGUCCAAUAGGGAGUGUUAUUGUCUCACAAAGAGUUCUAAAUCCUUACUCUAUUUGGUUUUAGUUUUCUUAUACAGGUGUGGAUCUACUUACCGGAGUUUGAGCAUGGCAAAUACCUCAGGACCAUCUGGUCAGGACCGUUGCACCCAGGAGUUGUUUAAGGAGAUCUUUUAUGUUUUGAGUCUGUUUCUUUUUAUGUUGUCUUGUACUUUAUAGUCAUGUCUAGUAGUAAUGAUUCUUUUAGUUAGUGUCGGAGUUUGUCGUAGUAUAGUUGAGUUGAGUCUUUUGUUAUCAUAUUUCCUGUUUUUUAUUUGAAAAAAAAGUUUUAAUGAAUAAUCCACAAAGAUUUUAUUUUUUUUUUAGUUUAAUUUAUCCAUUACUUUUCCGAAAUACGCAAAGAUCUGAUUCAUGUGGAACAUGAUACGUAGGCAACCUACAUAGGGUUCGAUCGAAUCAUUUUAAAAAAAUUAAAAUUAAAAGAAAAAAGAAGAAGAAAGAGAGGUGAAAUUAUAGGAUGUGAGAAAUGAGGGGAAAGAAAAGAGUGAUAAUUAGAAGAAAAAAAAGAGAAAAAGAAAAGAAGAAGAAAAAAGAAGA